rnacentral:misc_RNA from 1 species
GGCCUCCCUGGAUCCAGAAGAGCACCCAAUUCCAUAAAUCUAUCAUUUAGCCUAUCUCUCCGCAUUUUCUCUCUACAUGCCUUGGAACCAAGACCAUUGCACGAUCUAGGCCUCACCCGUUUUCGAGAUCCACUAUCUUUUAGACCAUCAGAAUUCGCAUACGAGCCAUCAAAAUCCAUUCUUAGAGAAGCAUUAUUAGUGAAGGAAGGAGAAGACCAGAGUGCUCCAGGGGGAUCAAGAGAAGGGAGGUCACCUCCAGGGACAGUAAUAUCCUCUAUUAGGCCAUAAUCAAAUACCCAAUUGGCAUUAUCAUUUGGUGACCCCAUCUCCUACGUUUGUUCGUCGCAAUUUCAAGAUUCCCAAAUUGUUCCUCGCGCCAGGUGCAACGCCGUGGCUACGGAAAAAAAGAUAGCGACGCGAGUGAAUUAGGUUUGGUUGGUUAAGAUAUGAAUGGGAAAAGUGCAGAGAGAGAGAGAGAAGGGUGAAGGGAUUGAAAACAAAU